CCUUUGUCAGGAGAGAUGACACCCACAUCGGAGGACCGGGUUACCGUUCGGAGUGGGUGUCACCUCUCCUGGACAUGGG
rnacentral:pre_miRNA from 1 species